UACGAAGGGGACUAGCGUUGUUCGGAAUCACUGGGCGUAAAGCGCACGUAGGCGGAUUCGUAAGUCAGGGGUGAAAUCCCGGGGCUCAACCUCGGAACUGCCUUUGAUACUGCGGGUCUGAGUCCGAUAGAGGUGGGUGGAAUUCCUAGUGUAGAGGUGAAAUUCGUAGAUAUUAGGAAGAACACCGGUGGCGAAGGCGGCCACUCG
rnacentral:rRNA from 1 species